rnacentral:rRNA from 1 species
CUACGGGGUGCUGCAGUGGGGAAUAUUGGACAAUGGGGGAAACCCUGAUCCAGCAAUGCCGCGUGUGUGAAGAAGGCCUGCGGGUUGUAAAGCACUUUCGGUUGGGAGGACUGCUUCUAGCACUAAUAUUGUUGGAAGUUGACGUUACCUUCAGAAGAAGCACCGGCUAACUCCGUGCCAGCAGCCGCGGUAAUACAGGAGGGUGCAAGCGUUAAUCGGAAUUACUAGGCGUAAAGCGCGCGUAGGCGGCUAGAUCAGUCGGGUGUGAAAGCCCCGGGCUUAACCUGGGAACUGCAUCCGAUACUGUCUAGCUUGAGUACAGGAGAGGAGAGUGGAAUUCCACAUGUAGCGGUGAAAUGCGUAGAUAUGUGGAGGAACACCAAUGGCGAAGGCAGCUCUCUGGCCUGAUACUGACGCUGAGGUGCGAAAGCGUGGGGAGCAAACAGGAUUAGAUACCCCCGUAGUC